GCUGUUAUAUGAGCUCACUCCUCCUCAGCUCACUUGGACAUAAGAGCUACUGACCAGAGUCAUGCCUUCAUUUGCAGUGCAGUCAGGGUCUCCUUUGUCCUUUCCUAAAGUGAAUUAACUUCUGAUGGUAUUCUGAGUGAUGAGGGUGAAAGGGAGUCACAGAGGGUUAUGUUCUUCUGCUAUGCCUAAUGCUACAUAAACAAUACUGCAAUGUUAUGAAGAAGCUAUUGUAUAUUAAAUGUUUUAUUUGUUUUCUUAAAUCCCUCCUAGAGCUUUCAGGAGUAGAUUUUGCAGGUCUGUAGGUCCUGAUUAGUGCCAUUUAGACAUUUAAAUCUACUGUCUACAAAUUCUUUAGUCUGAAGUACUAGUCUUUGAGACAUGUAUUUAAUUUUUCCUCAUAAGACUUCUGAGGUUUACUCUUUCUCAGCAGUGUGUCCUGCCAGAGUGUAACUGGAGAGUUCUUCCCUGUUUUCCACAAGGGGACUGCAAGAGUUCAUGAAGACUGGAAGUGAAGAGAACAUUUAGUCUUCAGCAAAAGCUAACCUUGACAACAUGAGGAAGUUUGUCUUCUUCCCAAGCAGCACUUCAUCAGAUUCCUAACUUGCAACCAAUUCUGUGCAGUUUCCUCUCAUCCUGAUGAAAAGGACAGUCUGGGUCUAGGAAGCACAAAAAACCUUAACUUUGAGCACGUCUGCACAACUUCCGCUUGGAGCCAGAUCAGAAAACAACGGCCUGCUAUGCUUUGUUUUUAACCUUUGCAAUUAAGAUGUGAAACCAUAACCAGCAGAAAAUAAACAGGGUUUCUCAUUCUUAA